CUGCAGCCAGUUAAGCCGACCAGCCUGCCUGCCGUGGGGGCCUGGUGUGCAGUGGCUGCGCACAGCACCCCCCACCCCCCCCCCGGUUGUGUACGUGCUCCGUACCCCGUACCGAGUGCCCUAAGGGACCGCGGAGACAUGG